rnacentral:tRNA from 1 species
GGGGUUGUGACUUAGUGGUAGAGCGCUUGCUUCACAUGCAUGAGGUACUGGGUUCCAUUCUCAGCACCA